rnacentral:rRNA from 1 species
AGUGAACGCUGGCGGUGGGCCUAACACAUGCAAGUCGAACGGCAGCACAGUAAGAGCUUGCUCUUACGGGUGGCGAGUGGCGGACGGGUGAGGAAUACAUCGGAAUCUACUUUUUCGUGGGGGAUAACGUAGGGAAACUUACGCUAAUACCGCAUACGACCUACGGGUGAAAGCAGGGGAUCUUCGGACCUUGCGCGACUGAAUGAGCCGAUGUCGGAUUAGCUAGUUGGCGGGGUAAAGGCCCACCAAGGCGACGAUCCGUAGCUGGUCUGAGAGGAUGAUCAGCCACACUGGAACUGAGACACGGUCCAGACUCCUACGGGAGGCAGCAGUGGGGAAUAUUGGACAAUGGGCGCAAGCCUGAUCCAGCCAUACCGCGUGGGUGAAGAAGGCCUUCGGGUUGUAAAGCCCUUUUGUUGGGAAAGAAAAGCAGCAGGUUAAUACCCCGCUGUUCUGACGGUACCCAAAGAAUAAGCACCGGCUAACUUCGUG